rnacentral:RNase_P_RNA from 1 species
GCAGUCGGCUGGACGAUCGCUGCAUGGUUUCUUCGGAAGCCAUGGGGAGGAAAGUCCGAGCUUCAUAGGGCAGGGUGCCGGGUAACGCCCGGUGGGGGUGACCCCAAGGAAAGUGCCACAGAAAGCAAACCGCCCGUCGGCAGAUCGCCUAUGCGGGUAAGGGUGAAAGGGUGCGGUAAGAGCGCACCGGGGCUCUGGUAACAGGGCUCG